GAUAUACUCCCACCGUCCGGAAAUACUUGUCAUCAAAAUGAAUAAAAGAGGAUGUAUCUAGAUGUAUUUUAGUUCUAGAUACAUCUUUUUUAUCCAUUUUGAUGACAAGUAUUUCCGGACGGAGGAAGUAUAAU
rfam:Triticum aestivum genome assembly, contig: Triticum_aestivum_CS42_TGACv1_scaffold_622097_7DS